ACACAGAAAAAAAAUACACACAUCAAAGUAACAACAUUGUGGCUGGUUGGUGCGCCUGUAGCGUAUGCAAUCCCUAGCUCGCUAGCGACAGGACCAAAGUACCCAGUGCCACACUCGCGUGCGCGCACACACACUACUACGAGGCGCACCGUGAAGCAGGACGAGCGAAGCUCUACACACGACUCGCACGCACACUAGCGAGCGUAAACGCGCUGUACGCAAUACAAACACAGCGGCACGAUGAAGCAGGUGAAUUUGAUGGUGUAGAAUCCUUGAAAUUCCUCGAGUUUCUUGCGUACAAGUAAAUAUUGUUACGGGUAUUUUUCCUCCGAAAAGUCACACUGAAGGGGCCAGACACCCAUAUUACUGCUGGUAAGCGUGUGUUGGUGCAUUGCUUCAAUCAAACAGACACACCAAUUGCACACCCCCUUUCCGAGUUAGCCUUGUUUCCUCGCUGCCUCCGCUGUAUUUCGCAACUACCCACCGAGCCAGCCGACUGCAUUUUCUUGCCUCACACACAUCUACCCGCCGCGCCAGUGUGUUUCGACAGGGCAAAACAGGUUUCGCUCGCACACAGCCACGAAGGGCCACGAAAAAAAGCUCUCGAAGAAGCAGCAGCAGCAGCAGCAACCUCUUGAGGCGCACCACAGUGGAUCAAAGCAUGCCUUCCCCCCUAUACGGUUGGGGUUGAUUCUAACGGGAACUGCUCACAGGAAGGUGGCACACGGGAUGAGGAUGCUGCUUUCACUUGUUCAGCAUGCAAUUGAAUGGCAAAAAGAAAGAAAGAAAAAACUUAAACCGCUUUUAGUUCCUUUUGAGCAAACGGUGAGCACUCUUGCGACAAUGUUGGCAAGGUGUGAAUUCACCUUUUACCUGGGGAAAAGGUUCAAUGGUUGCCUCGAUCCGAGCGGUUUUGCAUCGAAACAUCUCGACUGCGGAGGCAAAAAAGGAGUCGCCAUCAAAGCCCUGUCGAGUGGGCUUUGUGAGGAAGAAACCGGAAAUGGUUUCGGAAUGAGCAGUGCUGCAACACACGCAAAAACAUCACAACAAUAAGGGGUGGGAGGAUUAGAAGAGAAAAAAAGCCACCCCGAAACAACACUGACACACACACGCGCGCGCCCAAUUUGCUGCAACCACGACGAUGAGUCACGCAUUAGAACAGAGAGAGAAAGAGAAGACGCACACAGACAGGAUAAC